rnacentral:rRNA from 1 species
CUAGAAGACAUCUGAAAGAGAUUUAAAGAUUUAUCGGUGAUGGAUGGGGGAUGCGUCUGAUUAGCUUGUUGGCGGGGUAACGGCCCACCAAGGCGACGAUCAGUAGGGGGUUCUGAGAGGAAGGUCCCCCACAUUGGAACUGAGACACGGUCCAAAACUCCUACGGGAGGCAGCAGUGAGGAAUAUUGGUCAAUGGACGAGAGUCUGAACCAGCCAAGUAGCGUGCAGGAAGACGGCCCUAUGGGUUGUAAACUGCUUUUAUAAGGGAAUAAAGUGAGUCUCGUGAGACUUUUUGCAUGUACCUUAUGAAUAAGGACCGGCUAAUUCCGUG